UACGGAGGGGGCUAGCGUUGUUCGGAAUUACUGGACGUAAAGCGCGCGUAGGCGGCUUUGUAAGUUAGAGGUGAAAGCCCAGGGCUCAACCCUGGAAUUGCCUUUAAGACUGCAUCGCUUGAACAUCGGAGAGGUAAGUGGAAUUCCGAGUGUAGAGGUGAAAUUCGUAGAUAUUCGGAAGAACACCAGUGGCGAAGGCGACUUACUGGACGAUUGUUGACGCUGAGGUGCGAAAGCGUGGGGAGCAAACAGG
rnacentral:rRNA from 1 species